rnacentral:rRNA from 4 species
AAACUUUCAACAACGGAUCUCUUGGCUCUGGCAUCGAUGAAGAACGCAGCGAAACGCGAUAAGUAAUGUGAAUUGCAGAAUCCAGUGAAUCAUCGAAUCUUUGAACGCACAUUGCGCCCGCCAGCAUUCUGGCGGGCAUGCCUGUUCGAGCGUCAUUUC